rnacentral:misc_RNA from 1 species
GGAUGAAGAACGCAGCGAAAUGCGAUAAGUAGUGUGAAUUGCAGAAUUCAGUGAAUCAUCGAAUCUUUGAACGCACAUUGCGCCCCUUGGUAUUCCAUGGGGCAUGCCUGUUCGAGCGUCAUCUACACCCUCAAGCUCUGCUUGGUGUUGGGCGUCUGUCCCGCCCCCGCGCGUGGACUCGCCCCAAAUCCAUUGGCAGCGUUCCUUGCCCCCUCUCGCGCAGCACAUUGCGCUUCUCGAGGGCGGCUCCGGGACGCGAUCCAGCAAGAUGACCACCGUCUUUGACCUCGGAUCAGGUAGGGAUACCCGCUGAACUUAAGCAUAUCAAUAAGCGGAGGA